GAAACCGAGUCUUAACCGGGCGUUAAGUUGCAGGGUAUAGACCCGAAACCCGGUGAUCUAGCCAUGGGCAGGUUGAAGGUUGGGUAACACUAACUGGAGGACCGAACCGACUAAUGUUGAAAAAUUAGCGGAUGACCUGUGGCUGGGGGUGAAAGGCCAAUCAAACCGGGAGAUAGCUGGUUCUCCCCGAAAGCUAUUUAGGUAGCGCCUCGUGAAUUCAUCUCCGGGGGUAGAGCACUGUUUCGGCUAGGGGGCCAUCCCGGCUUACCAACCCGAUGCAAACUGCGAAUACCGGAGAAUGUUAUCACGGGAGACACACGGCGGGUGCUAACGUCCGUCGUGAAGAGGGAAACAACCCAGACCGCCAGCUAAGGUCCCAAAGUCAUGGUUAAGUGGGAAACGAUGUGGGAAGGCCCAGACAGCCAGGAUGUUGGCUUAGAAGCAGCCAUCAUUUAAAGAAAGCGUAAUAGCUCACUGGUCGAGUCGGCCUGCGCGGAAGAUGUAACGGGGCUAAACCAUGCACCGAAGCUGCGGCAGCGACGCUUAUGCGUUGUUGGGUAGGGGAGCGUUCUGUAAGCCUGUGAAGGUGUGUCGUGAGGCAUGCUGGAGGUAUCAGAAGUGCGAAUGCUGACAUAAGUAACGAUAAAGCGGGUGAAAAGCCCGCUCGCCGGAAGACCAAGGGUUCCUGUCCAACGUUAAUCGGGGCAGGGUGAGUCGACCCCUAAGGCGAGGCCGAAAGGCGUAGUCGAUGGGAAACGGGUUAAUAUUCCCGUACUUGGUGUUACUGCGAAGGGGGGACGGAGAAGGCUAUGUUGGCCGGGCGACGGUUGUCCCGGUUUAAGCGUGUAGGUGUGUGUUCCAGGUAAAUCCGGUUCACUUUAACACUGAGGCGUGAUGACGAGGCACUACGGUGCUGAAGUAACAAAUGCCCUGCUUCCAGGAAAAGCCUCUAAGCAUCAGGUAACAUCAAAUCGUACCCCAAACCGACACAGGUGGUCAGGUAGAGAAUACCAAGGCGCUUGAGAGAACUCGGGUGAAGGAACUAGGCAAAAUGGUGCCGUAACUUCGGGAGAAGGCACGCUGACACGUAGGUGAAGUGAUUUACUCAUGGAGCUGAAGUCAGUCGAAGAUACCAGCUGGCUGCAACUGUUUAUUAAAAACACAGCACUGUGCAAACACGAAAGUGGACGUAUACGGUGUGACGCCUGCCCGGUGCCGGAAGGUUAAUUGAUGGGGUCAGCGCAAGCGAAGCUCCUGAUCGAAGCCCCGGUAAACGGCGGCCGUAACUAUAACGGUCCUAAGGUAGCGAAAUUCCUUGUCGGGUAAGUUCCGACCUGCACGAAUGGCGUAAUGAUGGCCAGGCUGUCUCCACCCGAGACUCAGUGAAAUUGAACUCGCUGUGAAGAUGCAGUGUACCCGCGGCAAGACGGAAAGACCCCGUGAACCUUUACUAUAGCUUGACACUGAACAUUGAGCCUUGAUGUGUAG
rnacentral:rRNA from 1 species